AUGGAGCAACUGAGUCCCAGUGGACCUGUUCCUCAACCCUCAUGGUCAUUGGAUAUCAUUCCUACGAAAGUAGCUUGCACGCUAUCACAGGGAUCUAAUGUAACUAGCAUGGACUUUCAUCCUUGUCAUACACUAUUACUAGUUGGAUCUGCUAAUGGUGAAUUUACAAUCUGGGAGAUCGGUACGCGUGAGAGGCUGGUCUCAGAGCCCUUCCAAAUUUGGAACAUGCAAGCAUGUUCAGCACAAUUUCAGCGUGUCGUGGCUAAAGAUCCCUCCAUGGCCGUUAGUCAAGUUACAUGGAGCCCUGAUGGAUACAUGAUUGGAGUUGCAUUCACAAAACAUUUGAUCCAUCUGUAUGUAUACGAGCAUCGAAAUAAAACACGUGAAGUGGUAGAGAUUGAGGCUCAUUCUGGAGAAGUUAAUGACAUAGCUUUCUCCCAGCCAAAUAAGCAACUAUGUGUUGUCACUUGCGGAGAUGACAAGCUUAUUAGGGUUUGGGAUAUGCAUGGACAGAAAAUAUAUUCGUUUGAAGGGCAUGAGGCACCUGUGUAUUCUAUUUGCCCUCAUUACAUAGACGAUAUUCAGUUUAUUUUCUCAUUUUCCCUUGACGGGAAAAUGAAGGCAUGGUUUUAUGACAAUGUGGGAUCUAGGGUGGACUUUGAUGUUCCAGAAAAAUGGUGUACUACAAUGCUCUAUAGUGCCGAUGGAACUAGGUUGUUCUCAUGCGGAACAAGCAAACAGGGAGACUCACAUUUGGUCGAGUGGAACCAAAGUGAAGGAUCUGUCAAGAGGUCAUAUUCUGGAUUUCGUAAAAAAACAUCUGGUGUAGUACAGGGUGUCGUGCAGUUUGAUAUAGCUCGGAAUCACAUUUUAGCUGCUGGCGAAGAUAAUCAAAUUAAGUUUUGGGAUGUUGAUAACACCAACAUGCUGGCCUGCAUUGAAGCUGGCGGAGCCUUGCCAAGCUUUCCAAGAUUAAGAUUCAAUAAAGAAGGCAAUCUUCUUGCUGUUACUACAGUAGACAGUGGCUUUAAGAUAAUUGCAAAUAAUGAUGGGCUCAAAUCUUUACUGUCUUUUGGUAACCUGCCUUCCGAAGUGUUCAGAUCGCCAUAUGAAGCUUCUACGGUGAAGAAUGGCGGUGAUCCAGCAUCUGGAAGCAUAGAUAAAAAGCGAAGAAUUUCAGAAGAAAAGUCUGAUAAAGGGAAACCUUGGGAUCUGAAGGAAGUUCUAAAUCCCCAGAAAUUUCGUCUUGAUACAAUGCUAGAAACUGACCAAGCCAGCAAGGUAUCAAAGGUGCUCGACGACGAUGACCUCCUCAGGGAGAUCAUUAUCCGCGUCGGCUUCCCCACCACCCUUGUCCGUGCUGCCCUUGUCUGCAAGCGCUGGUACCAUCAUGCCUCUGAACCCGCCUUCCUCUGCCGUUUCUGCAAGCGCCACCCGCCCUGCCUCCUCGGCUUCUACGUCGAGGACAGGGAAGAUCAUAAAAUGGCUUCUAUUCGCUUCUUCAGUUUGCUAAAUAAGCCCCAAGAGCUUGCUGCCGUCGUCCGCUCUCUGCUGGGCUACAGUUGGGACGCCUACCGCGGCGCGCCGGCCAACUUUCUCUGCUCCCGGAAUGGCAGAGUCUUCAUCAGCUUGUACGACCAGGUCAACCGUAGCAAAUUUACAGUUGGGGCGCACAGUCCAUUAUGUCCUGAGAGAGGCCUGACUGUUGUCCCACCAUUCCCACACAUUGAAAUCCAGGAUGGCUAUUCCGGCACGAUGAAUGAUCUCUUCUCGGUAGAAGAAGUCAAUGACUUGUCCUUGUUGCAUGUGUCGGUGGUGUCUAACAUGCAGAGAACAAAAUCUACGGUGCACGUACAUAUGUGGCGACAUGGUGAUGGUGUGUGGCGCACGUAUCUUACCUUGGACACAGACCAGCUCCUUGAUCUGCGACGGGAACCAAAAGCUGUGCUCGCCAACAAUAAAAUCUACAUAGCAAGCGCCCAGAGCGACAUUGUUGUCUUUGAUUUGACUGCCUCGAGCAUAUCUAUGUUUCAGCUCCCACAAGGGGUGGAGUAUGGAGAUAGAGAUACCAUGUUGGCACGGGCUCAGGAUGCUUCUGGUGUGUAUCUCAUCCAUGCAAAGAAGCUUCAGCUUCACAUUUGGCUCCACAAGGGGGACAACUGGUUGCUGGUGGACACCAUUUGUUUGCGUGAGAUGGUUGCUAAUAUGUGGAUUCCAGGUUACAGGGUUGAGGAUGAGUCCUACGCUCCUCUCCGGAUAAAGCAUGUGGGGGACUAUGCUGAGUUUAUGUUCUUGGAGAUGGGUCGAUGCGCACUUCAAUUAGAUGUCAAGUGCAUGCAGUUGCGUAAAGUGUAUAUCAUGGCAGAAGAAGAAGUGCAAUUGGGUGAUAUCCAUCCUCUUAAGAUGAUUUGGCCGCCCAUGUUCCCUGCGCUCAAGGAUAAUCCUGCAAGCUCCAAAUAA
rnacentral:rRNA from 1 species